rnacentral:rRNA from 1 species
AGGAUGAACGCUGGCGGCGUGCUUAACACAUGCAAGUCGAACGAUGAAGGCUGGAGCUUGCUCUGGCUGGAUUAGUGGCGAACGGGUGAGUAACACGUGAGUAACCUGCCCCAGACUCUGGGAUAAGCGCUGGAAACGGCGUCUAAUACCGGAUACGAGCUUCCACCGCAUGGUGAGGAGCUGGAAAGAUUUCGGUCUGGGAUGGACUCGCGGCCUAUCAGUCUUGUUGGUGA